AUGAGCAGCGCGGCGGAGGCAUCGGCGGCGAGGGGCGGCGAGGAGGAGAGGUGCCGGUACAAGGGCGUGCGGCGGCGGCGGUGGGGGAAGUGGGUGUCGGAGAUCCGGGUGCCCGGCACGAGGGAGCGGCUGUGGCUGGGCUCCUACGCCACGCCCGAGGCCGCCGCCGUCGCGCACGACACGGCCGUCUACUUCCUCCGCGGCGGCGGCAACGGCGCCGCUGGGCUCAACUUCCCGGAGCGCGCGGCCGCCGCGUACGGCGCCGGCUGCGUGGCGCCCCUCUCGCCGCGGUCCGUGCAGAGCGUGGCGUCCGACGCCGGCAUGGCCGCCGACGCGCAGCUCGUGGCGGCGCGGGACGGCGCGCCCAGGCAGUGCUACGCGGAGGCGCGCGCCGGCGCAGGCGCUGCGCAGGGUGGCGCGAACGCGCGGCACGCGGAGUUCCAGCACGACGGCGCGUACGCGUACACAUAUACGGGGGACGGCGGGGACACCACUGGCGGCGGUGGCAGCAGGGGGCAGCUUGUCUCCGGCGAGCUCAGCGUCGACGACAUGGAGAUAUUGAUGUAA
rnacentral:rRNA from 1 species